rnacentral:misc_RNA from 1 species
UCGUAAAACCGAGGUGCGAGGGCUGUCGCUGACCUUUUCGGUCGUGCACGCCCGAGCGCUCUCACACAAUCCAUCUCACCCCUUGUGCACCACCGCGUGGGUCCCUUUCUGGCUUGUCCGGAGGGGGGCUCGCGUUUUCACACAAACUUGAAGUAGUGUAGAAUGUCUUACCUUUUUGCGAUUAUGCGCAAUCAAUA